CAAAGAGAUAAAUGUGGAUCUUUAUUUCCCCAUUAGGGUGGCAUGGGCACCCGCUGCCCCAUUUACCCCCGGCCCUCCUCAGCCCUGACUCCGCAGCCACACUCCCUCUGGGGCCGGGCACCCCUCUCUCCUGAAGCAAGUGCUCAGCCAGCUCACCUGUGCGCACCUGUGUCCCCCGCAAGCCAGGUCCAGACUUGGGCUCCAGCACCAAGGGGGCGUCCAUCAGCCUGGGACGUCAUCUCCACUCGGCCCCGAUGCCGGUGGCUCACAUGCGGUGGCAUCACUUUCGGGGUCACCGAGUCUGUGGGCCCCGGUGAAGGGGCCAUGCCCGUUCCCCGGCCUCUGCCGCAUGAAAGCCAACGUGCCGGUGUUCACCUUGGACGCACAGCCUUUGGGUCGGCCGCUGUUUGUUUUCUCUGCUUGGAGCGUCAGGACGCGGACCUAUUUAGGGAAGGCGUUGCUUCCCAAAGAUGGAUAAUGACAGUAAUUACACCUGGCCUGUCCUGCGUCUUCCGGCCCCACGUCUGUCUUCAAUGAAGUAAAGAAGAAUUAAAAGCCAUUUUCUGGAAUGAAAGCAUUUUGUUGUUUUUCAUUAACUUCGGAAUCACCCAGGAAAGGUUUUCCCAAACAGGAUACAGCUGCCCGCCCGUCACAGGCUUCCUCUUCAGGUCCCGCUAUGACCCCCUGAGGCAGAGACGCAGAAGCCCACCGCACGUGGGGAGCCAGGCCGUCCAGUCCUCGUGCGAGGCCGGGCCGGGGUGCCUGCCGGCUGGUGGGCGUCAAGCGGGGGUCCCCUGCCCUCUGCUGGCCCCGUGCCGCCUGCAGCCUCCCGCUCAGGAGCGCCAGCCUGGGCACACCAGGAGCCCGCAAGGCCCUCUCGGCCGUGGGGCUGCUCUGAGGCGGCUGUGCUGGUUCCCAAGAGCCCCCCGAGGCUCUCGCCCCCCCAAAAUUCAGGAUGUGGUGGAUGGCAGGGGACGUCCCCUCUGUGCAUGUGGACCCUGUCUGGGGACCCCCACGGGGACUCAGGGCCAGGCCAGUGGGAGCCAAGGAUACAGGGCCUGGGACAAAGGUGAUCGGAGGACAGAGGACCCCUAGACGUGGGCCCCCCAGGCUCCCUGCUGCAGCCUUUGUGGGACAGGGUGCUGCACCCCCGGGAACGGAGGAAAACCAGUCCCCAGUCCUGCCGGGGUGGACACGGAUGGCCCCCUGUGUGCCCACACGUGCACCUGCACACAAAUACGCCCACGACAGACACACACGCCAGCCACACGCAUGCACACACACCACACACACUCACAGAGCACACGUCCCAGAGCCCGUACGCUGGUCCUGUGUAAGGGAAGUGAAAUGGCUCCCCUCCAACAACAACAUGAAAGAACGAAUCUUUGGACAGGAAGGAAACUGAGGCAGCCCAGGAGUCCGAGCCGGAGGAGGAGCGGGGCUUCCGUGAGCCAAGAGCAGGGGCGGCAGGGGCGUGCAUGGGGCGGGGGACAUGUGGCACCCCGGCUCCGAGUGCCAGGCUGCGGGUGUUGGUGUG
rnacentral:lncRNA from 1 species